UCUAAUUUCUUAGUAAGCUGUGACAGCUUAAUGCCUUGGGACUGAAUUGCUGAGGAGAAGUUGCAGGGUGAUGGACAGCCAGAGGAGUGCUGGAACUUGAGGACUUGACCAUGCCAUGUCCCCCAGCCCAGAGUUAAACUUCCCUGGGUACUAAUGGAAGCAUGUAAACAAAACACAAAGAUGAAGUACAGGAGAGCGAGGGAGAAGCUGUUACACCGCUGUCUGUUGAGAGAGGCUGUUUCCUGCCUGUGAGUCUGGGUAUCCUCCAGCUUGCGGUAUGCACCUUGCCAAGCUCUUGUUAGGGACUGGUGGAAGCUGAAAGUGUUUUUCAGGACCUCUUCGAAGUUGAUGGCAGAAAUGAAUGAAACAAGAUACUUUCCAGCUGUUUGUAAGACGUAAAGAAAAAGAUCUGCUUCUCUGUGUCCCUUCUCCCCCAGUGCAUUCAGGGCUGGCUGGUGUCUGACCCGUGCUGUGCUAUGGGGGGUACUGAGAGCGCUUAGCAGGUCCAGCAUCCCAAACAUGGGUUGGUGGCUGCCACCUGGUCAAAGAUGAGAAAAUGCGAGCUUCUAAACACACCUACCCUGCACCUUCAUCCUUCUUCUCUGUGGUGGUCUGUCCCUGUUACUGUGAUCAUUUUUGUUUUACAGGUUUUGAGGUUGUGUGUUCUCUGCUUGUAAUCUUCACGAACCUUCAAAUCAGAAGUGAAGUCCUGAAUCCUCAGCCUCGCACCCCAAAAUGUGCAGACAGAUUUUCUGCUUGGCAUGUGAACGGUACUGAGGGGAAAAAUGGGGCUCUUGGGACAAGGGCAGCUAAUCUUUCCGUAGGAACAGAAGGAUUUUGAAGUCUGAGGACAGAAGUCUGCAUCACUGGGGCUCGAUUCAUGUCUUUUUUCCUUAGCUUUAAUAUGGUGUUGUGGGAAAGUGUUUUAUUUUUUGUGCAGCUUUGAUGUUCCACAGCUGCCUCUCUGCAUCCAGUAGCUCACUGAAACACUUAAAAGCAAGUCAUCCAGGUCGGUAAGCCCUGCAGUUGCACUUCAAGGCAGCAGAGCGGGCAGAGCUGAACUGCACUUGGCACCGUGUGCUGCUCUCUAACAGUGGUCGGUGGGGCAGCAGCAGUGGAGCUCAUGGACGUUGCCCACCCUGUGAGGGGUGCACCAGCCCAGGUCUCCCUCCCAACUGGCAGGGCACACUUGCAGUUUGGAGCUUAUUUGCCUUCAUCCUUUUGUAUCACCAGUGUCCAAGAAGCAUCCUGAAGUCCUUUUUUCAACCCUUACAGAAGUUAAAUCAUUCUCCAUGAUGUCCCAGGCAUUUUCUACUCCACUGCUAUAUUGAAGAAUCACUGGAAAUGGGCUUUUGUCUCAUCAAGGUCUGAUCUGGGAAUGUGUCUGAGGGUGUGCAGGUGACAGAAGAGCACGACCAUGUUGGUGAUGCUGCUGGAGGUGAAGCGGGUCUGUCCCAAGUUAGACUCAGGAGGGAAGACCAGGCAAUGAAUCAUCAGCAGAGCUAGCCCUGCUUCUGCAGUCUUCCACUUUUCAUGCUGUUCUUCGUCUGUGUUCACUUUUGAACGCUGGAAGUGAUGGCAGUUGGGAAACGUGGUGUUUUCUGUCAGCUGAACAAAAUUGCUUCAGAUCACUGAGGAUUUCCCUGCCCGAUGAUUACACACGAACAGGACAAGAGCUCUUAGGAUGCUCACUUGGAGUUAGUUACCUUGUAUUUAUGCAGCUGUUUGUGGAAACGUGCUUUAGUCAGAGUACUGGGAGUUGGUUUGUGCCUUUAUGAAAGAGCUCUAGAGGCACCAAAGAGUGGAUUUUCAAAAGCAGUUCACAUUGGCACCCUUGUGUACUCACUGACGUUUAUAGGAAUUCUACUGCUGGCUUACCAUCCUGACCUCUUAUCCUAAGGUACGCUCUGGAAAAUCCCCUUACUUCUCACUAAGACCCUAAGAAGUGGGCUAAUGUGUUAAAGGAAGCCCAAGCCCUGUAUGGUGACUGUGUCAGAAGGUGAAAUUUCUAUAGUUUCAAAGUGAAAGCAACCAAACUGGUAAGGAAACGAACUGCAGGGACUGAAGCUGAAAAGUGUCACGUUUUGCUAUAGCCCUAACCUGAAGGGCUAAGCAUAAAUUUCCUUUACCUUCAUAUACCUUGCGAACUAUAACGCUGUCUACAACUCCACUAGUCCUGUGGGAUGUGCAUUUGCUGAUGUGAGCAUGGUGGACAGUUUCUGAGUCGCUGGCAUCCCUAAAUAAGGGUUAUGCUGUGGCCUCAGGCUUUCUGAGGGGCUCCAAGUGCUAUAGGUACCUCAGCAACACUAUAAAUGUAGGCAGUUUAUCUACAGCUGCAGUUUUUCCAACUGCUUUUCUCCCUCCUUUCCCAAUGGGUGGCAGAUUUGGAAGUAUUUGGCUUGUGGUUUGAGUUGUGGCUCAGAAUUACUCAUGGCUGUGUCAUAAAAUCUUAUCUAUCCCUUUCUACAGAAAAAAUCUUACAGAGUGGUAGAAAGUGCUAGACAU